rnacentral:lncRNA from 1 species
CUCCACUAAAUAUAUAAACCUAUAAAUACUCCAAUUCUGUAGUUGUAAUCUCCAUUCUUAUUCAUCACAAAACUCCUUUAGAUUAUAUUAACACAAGAAUCCAUGAAAUCUCUGCAAGUUUUCUUCUUGUUAGCAAUGGCGAUGACCUUAGCCAUUACUUUUUCUGUAGCAUCAACCCAAGAGAAAUCACUCCUCGAUGAACCCAAUGAUGAAUACGUGAAAAAUGAAGAACAAUUCUCUUCACUUCGUGGGGUAAGCCGUUUUCUUGCUCAAAAAUCACGUUUCACAAUGAAGUGCAACAACUAUCCUCGAAUUUGUCGAAUCAAGGGCAGUCCUGGACCAGAUUGCUGCAAGAAAAGAUGUGUUAAUGUAGCCAAAGACAGAUUCAAUUGUGGGAAAUGUGGGCAUAGAUGCAAGUUCUCAGAAAUUUGUUGCAAAGGACAGUGUGUCAAUCCUUUGUUCAACAAAAAGCACUGUGGAGGUUGCAACAAUAAGUGCAAGAAAGGAAAUAAAUGUUUAUAUGGAAUGUGUAGCUAUGCAUAAAGUUCGUGUGAUUUGCACUUCAUUACUAGAAUAUAUACUUUUAGUGUUUGUUAUUAAUUUAUAUAUGUAACAAAUAAUUAAGUCAAUCCCUAUUGGCUUUUACCUUUGAUUAUCUAUUCUUUGCAUCAGGAAUGUUAUUAGUGUAUUAGUCAUCAAUUUAUGUAACAAAUGAGAGGUCGAGUGGACAUGAAAUACCGUCGAUAUAUUAAUUUGGAGUCCAAAACGUAUUUAUCAAAUUUAUUAUGUUUACAAGAACUCUAGGCCAUGAACAAGUACAUCUACCAAUUACUUGUUAAGUGGUAGUUACCUUUUAAUUCUCCACAAGUGAUGUACAAUCAACAGGUAUGAUGGAAAUUUUCAUGGAGCUUCGUGAAAUCUUACUCUCG